CUGACAACCGGUGCAUGAAACCCCUGUCACAUACUCCCUAGAUGGCUCAAUCAAUCAUGACACUUUCAUGUAAAAUCUUUAGUAUUGUGAGCCCUUAAAAGGGACAGAAUUUGUGCACUCAAGAAGCUCGGAUUUUGAGAUGUUAGUCUGCUGAUGCUUCCAGCUGACUAAAGCCACUUCCUCCACUCCCUCAGUGUCUGUGAGGUUUUGUCUGCAGCUCAUCCUGCUACAUUUCUUGUUUCCCUGAUCAGGAAGCGAGGUAACUGACGGACGGCUGAGGCAUCCCCUUAGGCAGCUUAGGCCUGCUCUAUGGAGCAUCCCUGUGGGAGACUCUGGCCUGCCUUAGUGACGUGAUCCAAAGAGUGAUCCCAGGUAGGCAAUUGCCCUGGUGGAAUGCCUUGCCAGAGCAGCAUGUGCCAGGCCCACAUGGAGGAUCAACGCAGUGGCUGAACACAAGGGAGGAACUGGCACUUGGAGUGCAGACAUCUGAAACUUGGUUUUUGCAUGAAGAGGAGCAGGAGUCUCGAAGGCACAGCCAGAUGGGACUGCCUAGUUGCCGAAAACAAGCUCAGGUUUCCCAUGGAUGCUACAUUAUGGAGAGCUGAAUAAUUAUUUCAUUGUAUUACAAUGGAAUAAUAAUAAAAAUAAAGUGCAGAAUAAAGGUAAUACACUCGAAUCAUCCCAUAAACAUCUCCCCCAACUCCUAGUCCAGGAAAAAAUUGUCUUCCCAGAAACUUGACCCCGGUGCCAUAAAUGCUGGAGACCACUUUUUUAGAAUAUUGGCUUUCUUUCAACCAACUUGUACACAUUAUAACUAUAAAAGCUUUUAAAGGCUUUUUAGAAGCAUUUUAUGAGCCCUGUAUGCAUUUUCCUCUCACUGUUAUGACAUACAGCUGGCUAUAUCCCCAAACAAAUGAUUUGUGAUUAGGAUUUUAACAAUAUCUGAAAAGACAGAAUCAAUAAUGCCACCUUAUUUCUAAAGACAACACACUACACAAAAUGUUUAUUAAAUAAACAUAAAUAUGUUAUUUUCAAUAAAGUCAAAAUAUUCUAAAAGAAGGACCAUAAUAUGUUUUUAACAUUAAAAAUGAACACAUAUUAAAAAUCUACUGAUCUAAAUACAGUUAUGAUUUUCUGGCUUAUGUAGUUGUUUUUAAAAUUACAUCGACGAGGGAUAGAUAAAUAAAUACAUGAUAAAUAGACAUAGAUAAAUACAUAGAUAGAAAGAUAGAGAUAAAUGCAUAGCUGAAUGAAUAGAUAAAUACCUGAAUAGAAAAAUAGAGAUGAAUAGGUCAACAGAUAGAUAGAUAGACAGAGAGAGAGACAGAGAAAUAGAGAGAGAGAAAGAUAGAGAUGGAAGGAUAGAUAAAUGAAUAAGUACAUGCAAGAUAAAUGGAGAUAGUGGGUGGAUUGAUAGAUGAUAGAUUAGAUAGAUAGAUAGAUAGAUAGAUAGAUAGAUAGAUAGAUAGAUAGAUAGAUAUGGAUGGAGAGAAAGAAAGAGAUGGAUGAAUAAAUAAAUGGAUAAGUAUAUGCAAGAUAAAUAGAGAUGGCAGGUGGAUAGGUAGGUAGGUAGAUAAAUAGAUGGAUAGAUAGAUAGCUAUGGAUGGAAAGGUAGAAAAAUAAGAAAUGGAUGGAUGAUGGAAGAUAGAUAGAUAGAUAGAUAGAUAGAUAGAUACAAAGAUGAUUAGAUAGAUAGGUGAUAGACAGAAUAAUUGAAUUAUUAUUUGUGGUGAACAGACUCCAGUGUGGCCUCCAUGAACCUAACUCUUGGUCUUCACACUUUUCUUUAAUUUCCUCCCAGUGUGAGCGGGACUUUUGACUUUCUCCGACCUGUAGACUGCCAAAUGUAAUAAGAUUACCUCUUUGAUUAGGUUACCUUUUAUGGCAAUUAUGAUAGUGUUGUGCAUAAAAUGUUUGUGUCCCCCAGAAAUCAUGAUUUUUUGUUUAUAUAUUUAUGUCUUCAUGAUUUGUCUAUUUUGUAAAGUGAAAAACUGAUUUAAAAAUGUUUAAAUUCUGCUCAACAGUCUUUAUCUUUAAUUAGAUAGCAUUCACACUGCUUUCCUUUACAUUGAGUAUUAUCCUUAAAGAGUUGGACUUUUUUUCUCUUCUCUUAUACUGUGAAUUUCUAAAUAUCUUAAUUUUUUUGUUUCUGUUUUUUUUUUUUAAUUGGGGUUGUUUGAAGUCUACUUGCUUUAUUAUUUCACUGAGUUCCUUGCCCUGACAUUCUCAUGCUGGAAGUUGUAUUAUUCACCCCGCACCGCAUAUACUCCCCUUAUAAUGCAUGAAUUUAUAUUAUAUUAUACUCAUUCACCAUUCACAUGUGUAGGUCAAUAUUACCUAGAAGUUUUACUAGAUAAUGUUUUAAUUAAAUAAGGAAUAAUGGGUGUGAAUGUCUUUCUGUUUAUUAUGGGUUUGAUUUCAGUUUGUUCAAUUUGUGUAUUUGUUACUUUUGCUAAAUUAGGAAACUUUUUCAGUUUUUUUUUUUUUUUUAGCACAAAUGAUUUCCCCUUUCCUUCUGGGAUUCCAGUCACAUGAAGUUAGGUCACUGUAACACUAUACAUAAUUUUCUAUCUAUUAUUUUCUGCUAUUUAAAUUAGGUUAAAACAAUUUCUUUUUUUUUUUCUUUUUUUCUUUUUGAUACAGAGUCUUACUCUCUCACCAGGCUGGAGUGCAGUGGUACAAUCUUGGCUCACUGCAACCUCUACCUCCCGGGUUCAAGCGAUUAUCCUGCCUCAGCCUCCCAAGUAGUUGGGACCACAGGUGCGUGCUACCACACCCAGCUAAUUUUUGUAUUUUUAGUAGAGACAGGGUUUCACCAUGUUGGCCAGAAUGGUCUCGAUCUCUUGACUUUGUGAUCCACCUGCUACAAGGUGGCACCCUCCCAAAGUGCAGAGAUUACAAACAUGAGCCAAUGCUCCCAGCCACAAUUUCUAUCAUAUCUUCAUAUUCACUUAUCUUUCCUCUGUUCUAUCCAUUCUGCUCUUAAGCCUAUCUGGUAAUCUUUUAUUCAGUUACAAUAUUUGUUAGUGCUAACAAAUUUUUGUUCUUCUCUAUGUCUUCUAUUAAUUAUCUGAAACUUUCUAUCUGUUCAUCUGCCUCAAUAGUUUUUAAUUACUCAUUGAAGGAAUGUUAUGUUUCAGCAUGGACAGUGAUUGGACAGUGAUUCUCAGUUGUAUCCUGGCCAUUUAGGAUUAUGUUUGAGAUUUGGCACAUUGUGUAAUUAUUAUUUUUUUUUGUGGAGACCUCUUCUAAGAUUAUGCCCACAGGAUAAGUGGAGUGCCACCUCACUACAGGGAAGAGGGGGUGGAAGUCCACAUUUUCCCUAUAAUCUCUGUGAUCCAUGUUGGUAAGUCCAGUGUGGGAUUGCAAGGAGGGUAAACAGAUGCCUCAUAAUGACUGCAAUGACACCACAAUGGGAAACAGGUAAACUUCUCACCCUAAAACUCCACUGGGUGUCUUUUGACACCACUCUAGUGGGGUUGGAGAGACAGUUUGUAUUAGCCAGUGUUCUCUGAGAAAGCAUCCAUAGAAGAUAGAUAGACACAUAGAUAGAUUCAAAUAGAUUUAUUUAUGUAUUUACUUAUUUAUUUUUAGACAGAGUCUUGCUGUGUCACCCAGGCUUGAGUGCUGUGGCACGAUCUUGGUGCACUGCAACCUCUGCCUCCUGGAUUCAAGCAGUUAUUCUCCUCAGCCUCCAAAGAAGAUGGGAUUACAGGCUCGUGCCACAACACCUGGCUAAUUUUUUGUAUUUUUAGCAGAGAUGGGGUUUCACCAUGUUGGCCAGGCUGGUCUUGAACUGCUGACCUUGUGAUCCACACACUUGGACUCCCAAUGUGUUGGAAUUAGAGGCGUAAACCAUGGCACCCAGCUCAAAGAGAUUUAUAAAGAGAAACUGGCUCAGAAAUUGAAUAUGAGAGUUCCUAACAUAUGGAGGCAGCAAUGGGAGAUUCAGGAGAGCUGGUGGUCUAAGUUCUAGUCUGAGACUAAAGGCCAGAGACCCAGGACAGCUGAUGGUGUGAGCUCCUAUCUGAGUCUGAAGGCCCAAGACCCAGAAGAGCAAAUGGUGUGAGUUCAAGUCUGAGUCUGAAGGCCUGAGGCCAAUGAGAGCUGAUGGUGUAAGUUCUAAUCUGGGUCUGAAGGCCCAAGGCCCAGGAAAGCUGAUGAUGUGAAGUCCAGUCUGAGUGUGAAGGCCUGAGACUCAAGAGAGUUGAUGGCAUGAGUUCUAGUCUGAGUCUGAAGGCCCGAGAUGCAGGAUAACUGAGGGUAUGACUUCCAGUCUGAGUCUGAAGACCUGAGACCCAGGAGUCCUGAUCAUGUGAAGUCCGAUCUGAGUCUGAAGGCGUAAGGCCAGGAGAGCUAAUGGUGUGAAUUCCAGUCUGAGUCAGAAGACCUGAGACCCAGAAGAGCUUUGAGUGUGAAUUCCAAUCUGAGUCAGAAAAUCCAAGACCCAGGAGAGCUGACAGUGUGGGAUUCACACUGGAGACUCAAGACCCAGGAAAGCCCAUGAUGUAGGUGCCAGUUUAAAGACAGGAGAAUCCUGAUGUUUCAGCUCAAUCAGGCAGGAGAGGUUUCCUCUUACUCCAUCUUUGUUUCCUAUUCCAGGCUUUCAUAGAUUGUAGAGGACCCACCAACAGGAGGGGUCAAUCCACUUUUUGCAGUGUAUGAAUUCAAAUGGGAAGCCAGGUGCAGUGGCUCACACCUGUAAUCCCAGGACUUUGGGACAGGUUGGAUGAUCUCAGCUCAGGAGUUUGAGACUAGCCUGGGCAACAUGGUGAAACCCCAUCUCUACUAAAACUACAAAAAUUAGCUGGGCUUGGUGGCAGGCACCUGUGAUCCCACCUAUUCUGGAGGCUGAGGCAGGAGAAUCGCUUGAACCCACAAAAUGGAGGUUGCAAUGAGCCAAGAUCACCCCAUUGCACUCCAGCUUGGGAGACAAGAGUGAGACUCUGUCUCAAAUAAUAAAUAAAUAAAUACAUAAUUGAAAGAAUAAAAAAAGAAUUCAGAUGGGAAUCUCAUCCAAGUACCCAUCUUGCAGACAUAUUCAGAAUAAUGAUUUCCCAAAUAUCUCCAUGCCCUGUGACUCAGUCAAGUUGAUACAAAAAAAUCAGUCAUUAUUGUUGUCUUGGUUCUGCCUGGUAAAAUCAAAGUCCAGACCAGCUAGUCUGGCCUGGUAUCCACCUGGAUAUUACAGAUGGGCAAUGUUGGAAGUUUAUGCUUGAAGCUUGGUCUUUGCUAAUGGGGGUGGAGCGGAAGCCACAGUGCAUCUGUGGUAUAUGCUGGAUAACAGAAAACCCAGAGAACUCAUUCCCAUGAUUUUCCUCAGGUUCUCAGGUCUUUUUUCUUCUCUUCACCUGUCAGGGACCUCUUAUACUAGCUUUAUAUUAAUAUGCAGGUUUUAUGUCUGUACUUAAAAUGGAAACAGGCAGAAGUGCAUCUAUGUCAUCUUGUUCCAGAAUUACAAAUUUGAAGUAUUGCAGCUUUUUUAGUAUAACUGAAAAAAUAUCUACAAACUCAUCUGCAAAUCUGCAAGUGGUGCACAAAAUAAAUCCACUUAAAUAGUCCUCUUUGACCAUGUUAAGUGUUUGAAUCAAGUAAAAUUACACGAAUAAAGUCGAUGGUAGUUACAAACCAAAUGGACUCUCUAUCCACAGAAUAUAAUUUUUAACAGUCAUAUACACCUGUUUCCAAUCUAACAAAGGCUUAAAAGAGACUUUCUAAGAGAAGUUUAAGUUUUAUUACUCAGAAACUCUGGGGAUUUUCAGCAAUGUAAGUGAAUACUAGAGAGCAUUCAAGAAAUCUUAGAUCUUCAGAGUUGUUUUCCUUGAAGCUUUGAAUCUUUGUGCACUUUUAAAAUUGUUUUUCUCUGCAUUUAGCAAUGACAUAUAUUGUAAAAAAUGUGUCUUAUGUUUAUCUUCAGCCAAAUUUAUUUGCAUGUUCUACUUUGUGUGUUUUAGUAAAAGUUCAAUAUUUGAUAGCUUGAGUAAUUCUUUCAUCUUUGAUGCAAAGCUACAUUUUGAAAAUAUUGACUGAGAAUACAAUGAAGUAUAUAAUCAUUUUCCAGUAGCAAUGACUGGAAUGUGUGACACAUGUCUCAGUAGCAACAUUUCACUUUGUUCAAGAUCUGAUUUUCUAUAAAUAAUUCCUAAUGCAGUCAGCUACAAACCAAGACAAGAAUGUAAUUGAAAGCCUCUGAGUUAUUAAUAAUUUACUUUCUCUAUGUGGCCACACUUAGGACCUAAGCCAAAAAAAAAGUAUAGAAAAACUCCUUAAGAGUAAAAAAAAUUAAAUAAAAAAGCAUAUAAUGGAUAUGUGUCAACUGAGUUAUGUGGAAAGGCAGAAAAGGCAUUUUAGAAACAAUGAUCUGAGGUUAUUCAAUAUAAGGAUAUAGAACUCUAUACCCUUGAAUAUCCAUGAAGUUCUUUCUGUAUGGUCCAGCAGAAGAAGAAUGUUAAUUCCUUGCAGGUACUGCACUGCUUAGAUGUUAUUUUUGAAAACCUCUCCAGAUUUUUAAUACCUUCCUUCAUUGAAUUUUGAGUUAUAAAUGCAACCAUUUUACAGAUGCAGGGAGAUAUAACACAAGUUGUAAAGCCCUGUGUGAAGUCAUAUGGUUGACAGGAAUAAGAAUUCCUCAUUUGAAGGAAUUUUUAUACUCUACCCUGACUUACUGAUGACUCACAGUGUAUGUGACUCUAGAGUUUAAUGAUUAUGUUACUUUGGGAAUAUAGAGUUUUGUGAUCUGGGAAGACGUAUAAAUGUGCUUCCCUGAUCUACUCAAAUGCACGAGAGAGGUAUUUUUCAUGUAUAUUUUAGCCCAGAGAAAGGGCUUAAUCUCUUCAGCCAGUGGAUGUAUAUUACACUUUUAAAGAAUUCUUCUGAAAUCUUUUUCUGUGCCAUAUUUUCAGACAAUUUCAAGUUUAUUCUGCUUCAGCUGUCAUAGUGGCAACCCGCACUAAGAGUUUGUCACCAAACUCUCAUCGUUAAGCUUGGAAUGUCUUCAAGUACAAAUGGUUAUGCAAUUUGGGAAUUACCAGUUUAUUUUCCAAGAAGGUAAGAUGCAUCCUGUUGGUGAAUGCAGGACAACCUGGCGGGCCAGGUGCAUAAAUCUUUGACUUCCCCACCAUGACGAGGUUUGGAUAAGACUUCAACCCAGUGAUGGCCAAUGAGACUGGAUGGUGCAGUCUACAAAUAUUCCACUAGCUUGUGGUGGAAUAAAUCAGUGUUGUGUAUUUUCUUUGGUCUUUUCUUCUCGGUGCUCAUGUGAAUGUGCCUAUCUGUUCUAAAACCAGGUCAUUAAAAAUAUGUCAAUAUUUUAAACAUUAAAUAUUUAAAUCUGUUAUAAUUACACAAAUUUACAUGGUUUACAUAGGUUUAUUCUUUUUUUCUUGUUGUUUGUUUUUUUGAGACGGAGUCUCGCUCUGUCACCCAGGCUGGAGUGCAAUGGCGCGAUCUCGGCUCACUGCAAGCUCCGCCUCCCGGGUCCACACCAUUCUCCUGCCUCAGCCUCUCCGAGUAGCUGGGACUAUAGGCACCCGCCACCACGCCCGGCUAAUUUUUUGUAUUUUUAGUAGAGACAGGGUUUCACCGUGGUCUCAAUCUCCUGACCUCGUGAUCUGCCCGCCUCGGCCUCCCAAAGUGCUGGGAUUACAGGCUUGAGCCACUGCGCCAGGCCCAUAUAGGUUUAUUUUUUAAUAUCUAUAAACUUUUUGCUUCUAGUUAGUUCACAGCAGAGGGCAGACUCAUUCUUUUUUGUAACUUAAAGAGUCAAAUUGUUGAUAAAUUACACUUACAGAUAAUGUGCUCUUGAGUUUAUCGCACCUGAAAUUCUCCCAUUGACCUGUAUAUUUUUGGACAUGUAUGUGUACUACUAUAUAUGAAAUAUGAAAUAUAUGUAUCUUUGAUUCAUAUAUGUAUGUAUUCAUAUAUGAUAUGAAUCAUAUCAUUGAUAUAUGUAUGUAUAUGUGUGUAUAUAUAUAAAUAUAUAUAUACUAUUUGUAAUUUCUAUUAUUUUUUCAAGUGACUGUGUGCAUUUUAAAAUUAUUGUCUACUUAGUAUUCUGGAAAAAAAUUUAGAAGACUAAUGCUGUUACAUGCUAUUUUAGAGUGGUUAUGAUCAAAGUCAUAAAAUGAGAAAGUGGUGAACCAGGAUGCAAAUGGAACAUUGACAUACUAAUACAAUUUCACCUAAUGUAUGUAGCCAGAAGUCAGACACAGUCAAGAAGUUGGGAUUUGAAGAUAGAAAUUUUUAAGAGCAAAAGAAGAGACACUAUUCCAUGGAGUUUGCAUUGUGAGUUUAUGAAUGAAUGUAGAAAAUGGUAAUUUGGUCUCCUUCAUUCCUAUGGUAAAUGUCUUCAUUGAUCAUAGAAAAGAGGAUGUUAUUGGAUAUGUGUGUCCAGAUAGUCAUUUAGCUGAUUCUCCAAUCACCAGGCUUGUCACUACCAAUGAAUGAUCCAAAAAAGUUCCACCAUGUGACUGACCAGGCACCUAACACACACUAUAACUUUUGCUAGGAUGUGCAAUUUUGACUUAAGAUGUAGGCUGGGCUUCUACUCUCAUAUUGGCUGAAUCUAAGUAGCACCUGAACAUUGAUCCCAAAGAGAUGAACCCUACUGAAUGUCUUUGUGAAAAAAUGGUAGGGUAAAAUACAUGCAGCAGUACAGAACCUCCAGGCUGGAUGCUGUGGCUCAGGCCUGUAAUCCUAGCAGUUUGGAAGGCUAAAGUGGGAGGUGAGCUUCACUUGAGCUCAGGUGUUUGACACCAG
rnacentral:lncRNA from 1 species